GACAGAGGUGCCGAGCGUUAGGCGGAAUCACUGGGCUUAAAGCGUGUGUAGGCGGAUGUCUAAGUACCUUGUGAAAUCCCACGGCUCAACCGUGGAACUGCUUGGUAUACUGGAUGUCUUGAGCUAACUAGGGGCAACCGGAACAAACGGUGGAGCGGUGAAAUGCGCAGAUAUCAGGAGGAACACCGGUGGCGAAGGCGGGUCUCUGGGCCGGUACCGACGCUGAGGAGCGAAAGCGUGGGGAGCGAACAGG
rnacentral:rRNA from 1 species